UUUUCAGUUAUGAAGGAUACAAAGGGAACCAAAGAUUCAUCUCGCAAUACUGUAGGACAUAUCGUGUUGGUUAUUUGUGGAAUUAUAGUGAUUUUGUCAAUAAUAGCUUUUUUGUUGAACAAGCUGCUUACGACACGGGACAAGCAUUGUAAAAGAUCUGAUGAUGUAGUUACAGAAAUGGAAUAAUGACAUUAAAACAUUAGAAGAGUUUUCUGACCUAUCCACAGAUGUAUUUACAUUUUAUAGUGUUUGUGUUAAACUUUAUUAUAAUGUUAUAAUGUGUUAGGGCUGUUGCGAUUUUUUGUAAGGUAAUUCUUAAGUCUUUGCGUAGUGGAACACGAUUUUAUUCCUGUUUCAUAGACUAUGAAAAAAGAUUUGAUAGUGUAUCUUAUUUCAAGUUGUGGUUAAGAUUAAUCAGAUGUGGUAUAAGUGGAAACCUAUUAACUGGUAUUAAAUCUAUGUAUGCCAAAAUUAAACUUUGUGUUAAACUGGAAGGACAUUUUUUAAAUUUCUUCCAAAGUAAUGUUGGACUGAUGCAAGGAGAAUCAUUAUCUCCUCUUUUAUAUUCUUUGUAUAUUAAUGACAUUGAAACUGAGCUUAUAAGUCAAGGUUGUCAGUCAUAUGAGUUAAAUAUGCUUAAUUUAUAUUUACUUAUGUAUGCAGAUGAUACAGUUUUAUUUAGUGAAACUAUUGAUGGUUUACAAAAGAUGAUAGACAGUUGGACAUAUAUUCUACAGAGUAUAAUUUAGAUAUUAACUAGUCUAAAACCAAAAUUGUUAUGUUUACAAAUAGAGAACUCGUUAAAGCGACUGGCAAAUGGUACUUAAAUGGUGUUGAUAUUGAAUUUUGUGAUGCAUUUACAUAUCUUGGCAUACUUUUAAAUACAAUGGUAACUUUGUACAUACACAGAAAAUAUAGCCAAACCAGGGUAGAAAAGCAAUUCUCAGUAUUUAUUUUAUAUAGUAAAAUAUAUGACGAUUGUUU